rnacentral:rRNA from 1 species
GAUGAACGCUGGCGGCGUGCCUAAUACAUGCAAGUCGAGCGAACAGACGAGGAGCUUGCUCCUCUGACGUUAGCGGCGGACGGGUGAGUAACACGUGGAUAACCUACCUAUAAGACUGGGAUAACUUCGGGAAACCGGAGCUAAUACCGGAUAAUAUAUUGAACCGCAUGGUUCAAUAGUGAAAGACGGUUUUGCUGUCACUUAUAGAUGGAUCCGCGCCGCAUUAGCGAGUUGGUAAGGUAACGGCUUACCAAGGCGACGAUGCGUAGCCGACCUGAGAGGGUGAUCGGCCACACUGGAACUGAGACACGGUCCAGACUCCUACGGGAGGCAGCAGUAUGGAAUCUUCCGCAAUGGGCGAAAGCCUGACGGAGCAACGCCGCGUGAGUGAUGAAGGUCUUCGGAUCGUAAAACUCUGUUAUUAGGGAAGAACAAAUGUGUAAGUAACUAUGCACGUCUUGACGGUACCUAAUCAGAAAGCCACGGCUAACUACGUG